CUCCUGAGGAGAAAGAAAGAGAGGGAGGGAGAGAAAAAGAGAGAGAGAGAAACAAAAAACCAAAGAGAGAGAAAAAAUGAAUUCAUCUAAAUCAUCUGAAACACAAUGCACAGAGAGAGGAUGCUUCUCUUCCCAAAUGUUCUUAUGGACUGUUGCUGGGAUCCCCAUCCUAUUUCUCAGUGCCUGUUUCAUCACCAGAUGUGUUGUGACAUUUCGCAUCUUUCAAACCUGUGAUGAGAAAAAGUUUCAGCUACCUGAGAAUUUCACAGAGCUCUCCUGCUACAAUUAUGGAUCAGGUAUAAUAGUCCCAAAGCUCGUGUCCUCUGUCUCUUGCCUCAGCGCCUGGGUGGCUUGCCGCCCACAUCUAACCCAUCUAUAUACUACAGUAUGGAGAUUUGAUUGAGGAUACAUUGUUUAGGAAUUCCUUUCCUACAAGAAACCUAAAAUGAGAGAGUUUUUUAUUGGACUGUCAGACCAGGUUGUCGAGGGUCAGUGGCAAUGGGUGGACGGCACACCUUUGACAAAGUCUCUGAGCUUCUGGGAUGUAGGGGAGCCCAACAACAUAGCUACCCUGGAGGACUGUGCCACCAUGAGAGACUCUUCAAACCCAAGGCAAAAUUGGAAUGAUGUAACCUGUUUCCUCAAUUAUUUUCGGAUUUGUGAAAUGGUAGGAAUAAAUCCUUUGAACAAAGGAAAAUCUCUUUAAGAACAGAAGGCACAACUCAAAUGUGUAAAGAAGGAAGAGCAAGAACAUGGCCACACCCACCGCCCCACACGAGAAAUUUGUGCGCUGAACUUCAAAGGACUUCAUAAGUAUUUGUUACUCUGAUAUAAA
rnacentral:lncRNA from 1 species